rnacentral:rRNA from 1 species
UACGUAGGGGGCAAGCGUUGUCCGGAAUCAUUGGGCGUAAAGAGCGUGUAGGCGGCCAGAAAAGUCCGCUGUGAAAACUCGAGGCUCAACUUCGAGCUGUCGGUGGAAACUUUCUGGCUAGAGUCCGGAAGAGGAGAAUGGAAUUCCUGGUGUAGCGGUGAAAUGCGCAGAUAUCAGGAAGAACACCCGUGGCGAAGGCGGUUCUCUGGGCCGAAAUUGACGCUGAGGAGCGAAAGCGUGGGGAGCAAACAGG